GCGUGGAGCCAACCUUGAAAUACCACCCUUUAAUGUUUGAUGUUCUAACGUGGCCCCGUUAUCCGGGGUGCGGACAGUGUCUGGUGGGUAGUUUGACUGGGGCGGUCUCCUCCUAAAGCGUAACGGAGGAGCACGAAGGUCAGCUAAUCACGGUCGGACAUCGUGAGGUUAGUGCAAUGGCAUAAGCUGGCUUGACUGCGAGAGUGACGGCUCGAGCAGGUGCGAAAGCAGGUCAUAGUGAUCCGGUGGUUCUGAAUGGAAGGGCCAUCGCUCAACGGAUAAAAGGUACUCCGGGGAUAACAGGCUGAUACCGCCCAAGAGUUCAUAUCGACGGCGGUGUUUGGCACCUCGAUGUCGGCUCAUCACAUCCUGGGGCUGAAGUAGGUCCCAAGGGUACGGCUGUUCGCCGUUUAAAGUGGUACGCGAGCUGGGUUUAGAACGUCGUGAGACAGUUCGGUCCCUAUCUGCCGUGGGCGCUGGAGAAUUGAGGGGGGUUGCUCCUAGUACGAGAGGACCGGAGUGAACGCACCACUGGUGUUCGGGUUGUCAUGCCAAUGGCAUUGCCCGGUAGCUAAGUGCGGAAAAGAUAAGUGCUGAAAGCAUCUAAGCACGAAACUUGCCCCGAGAUGAGUUCUCCCUGACCCUUUAAGGGUCCUGAAGGGACGUUGAAGACGACGACGUUGAUAGGCCGGAUGUGUAAGCGCAGCGAUGCGUUGAGCUAACCGGUACUAAUGACCCGUGAGGCUUAACCUUACAACGCCAGAGGCGUUUUG
rnacentral:rRNA from 1 species